rnacentral:tRNA from 1 species
GCCAGAGUGGUGAAAUUGGUAGACACAGGGGAUUCAAAAUCCCCCGGGGUAACACCCGUGCCGGUUCGAGUCCGGCCUCUGGUACCA